UGAAUGUACUAAUUAGAUAUAAGAAAAGACACAAAACAAGACAACAUUGAAAACUCAAUGUUUUUAGAAGCUUGGGUCACCGCCUUGGAAAUGUCAAAGGGUCAUGUACGCACUGCCGGUUUAAACCAGUUUUAACCGGUUUACAGGGAUACCUAACCUCAGACUUGGUCCACAAUUGACCAUCGUACAAACAUGUGUAAAUAAACAUUGACUUCAUAGCAUUCCUGUUUAAAUAAGCAAAUUCGUUGAAUUGAUAUCCACCGCCAAUAUGCUUAAGGACACAAAAGUGUUUUAUUUGACACUACAAAAGCAUUUUUUUAAGAUACAAAGGACCAUAACUCUGUUAUUAACAGAUGUUGUACAUUGCCAUUUAGCGUGUAUCAUCCUCUUAUCCAUAUAUAUACUCAUACCAAGUUUCAAGGAAAUCUGCCAAAGCACUUCCAAGAUAUGGCUCCAGACACAAAAGUGACGGACAGAUGGAAAGACGAACGGACCAAAAGAUGGAAGGAUGGACGGACGGACAAGGCCAAAACAAUAUCCCUCCGCCUAUAGCGGGGGAAAAUUAAACAGAAAUACGAGAGAAUAAUAAUUUUAUUGAUUUAAUUACACAAUGGUUUCAUGUGAAGCACCAGAACUGCAACUAUUUAAGAAAUGAUGAUUUGAAGUAAAUACGAGUAUGUACAUAAUUUAAGGCCAAGCCCAAGGCAGAAUAAUCGUCCAAUUGUAAGGUUGUCCAACGAUAGCUGUGUUUGGUUCAUUCACUUCUCUGUUAUUGACACUGUUUGAGUACUCUAUCGGCUACAGGUAGUUAGGGUGUAGGUCACGAUUCAGCUUUUUUUUAGCUCACCUGAGCACAAUGUGCUCAUGGUGAGCUUUUGUGAUCGCCUUUUGUCUGUAGUGCGUCGUCCGUUGUGCGGCGUCAGCAUUUGCCUUGUUAACACUCUAGAGGCCACAUUUAUUGUCCAAUCUUCAUGACAUUUGGUCAGAAAAUUGGUCUCAAUAAUAUCUUGGAUGAGUUCGAAAAUGGUUACAAUUGCUUGAAAAACAGGGCUGCCAAGGGGCGGGGCAUUUUUCCUUAUAUGGCUGUAGUAAAAUCUUGUUUACACUCUAGAGGCCACAUUUUAUAUAGUCAGAAGUCUGAACUUGGUCAGAAGAUUCAUCCCGAUAAUAUCUUAGAAGAAUUACAAAAAUGAUGCUGGUUGGUUGAAAAACAUGGCUGCCAGGGGGCGGGGCAUUUUUCCUUAUAUGGCUAUAGUAAAACCUUGAUAACACUCUAGAGGCCACAUUUAUUUUCUGAUCUUCAUGAAACUUGGUCAGAAGAUUUGUCCCAAUUAUAUCUUGUUAUUUCAGGUGAGCAACUUUGGGCCUUUCAGGCACUCUUGUUUAAAAACAUUGCAUGUUCUGUGCAUUUCCAAAAAGGAAAACCAUUUUGUCAUUUAAUAAGACCCAGUUCAUUCACUGCACAAUUUAUGAAGUUAUGACUUCUUAAAGGGGGCAACAUAAAAACAGCACCCUCCUAUUUUGCUCUUGAUCUUUCUUUACCUCAGAUGUGGAAGGACCUCAUAAACUUAUUUUGAAAGUUUGCGUUUCCUUAAACUUACUCUAUUUUUCACCAUUUAAAAAUUCAAGAACACAUAAUAAACUUAAAACAAUGUUUGCCCACAUGUUGGUCUGGCCCCGCAACAGUCCAUAUUCUUUCUCUCAUACUGCUACCAAUGUUCUGCCAAGAGUGCAUUUUAUGUAUAAUCAUUUGAUAGUUAACUAUUUUAAAACAAAAUUUAAAACUCGUAAUUAUCUUUAUGCAGGUAGGACUGCCUAAGGAUGGAUCAAACAAUAUUGGAGGUGCAAUUUGCGGCAAACCGAGGGACACUCAAUUACCCCCAUGGCAGGGUAGGACCCCCCCCCCCUGGCCCCCAGUGAAUGCCGACUUGUUCUUUUCUGCAAUGAAGACUUGUUUAGGGACGUCUUGGCAUCUAAGUGCAGAAUUUGAAGCAAAUGUGACAUCAACCCUCUAGACCGAUGAGAGAAACAACACUGAACUUAAAUUUCGGAUAUAACCCUGAACAAUUGUCAUCAAUCACAUGACAUGCUGCUCACCACUAGAGGAAGACCCCUAUUGAAUUUGGCUUUGAUUCCUCUAAGUAACUGACCAGACACUAGAAGGUCCAGGUGCUGAUAAACUACACAAGAUCAAGUCCUGGUGUACUACACCCUACAGUGUUUCUGGCGGCUGGUGGAGCGAUUAAAGAAAAGCCAUGCUAAUGUUGCAAUGAUAUGUAUGCUAAACAAAAUAAAUAAAUUUAAAAAAAAAAU